rnacentral:rRNA from 1 species
AGAGUUUGAUCAUGGCUCAGAUUGAACGCUGGCGGCAGGCCUAACACAUGCAAGUCGAACGGUAACAGGAAGCAGCUUGCUGCUUCGCUGACGAGUGGCGGACGGGUGAGUAAUGUCUGGGAAGCUGCCUGAUGGAGGGGGAUAACUACUGGAAACGGUAGCUAAUACCGCAUAAUGUCGCAAGACCAAAGAGGGGGACCUUCGGGCCUCUUGCCAUCGGAUGUGCCCAGAUGGGAUUAGCUUGUUGGUGGGGUAACGGCUCACCAAGGCGACGAUCCCUAGCUGGUCUGAGAGGAUGACCAGCCACACUGGAACUGAGACACGGUCCAGACUCCUACGGGAGGCAGCAGUGGGGAAUAUUGCACAAUGGGCGCAAGCCUGAUGCAGCCAUGCCGCGUGUAUGAAGAAGGCCUUCGGGUUGUAAAGUACUUUCAGCGGGGAGGAAGGGAGUAAAGUUAAUACCUUUGCUCAUUGACGUUACCCGCAGAAGAAGCACCGGCUAACUCUGUGCCAGCAGCCGCGGUAAUACGGAGGGUGCAAGCGUUAAUCGGAAUUACUGGGCGUAAAGCGCACGCAGGCGGUUUGUUAAGUCAGAUGUGAAAUCCCCGGGCUCAACCUGGGAACUGCAUCUGAUACUGGCAAGCUUGAGUCUCGUAGAGGGGGGUAGAAUUCCAGGUGUAGCGGUGAAAUGCGUAGAGAUCUGGAGGAAUACCGGUGGCGAAGGCGGCCCCCUGGACGAAGACUGACGCUCAGGUGCGAAAGCGUGGGGAGCAAACAGGAUUAGAUACCCUGGUAGUCCACGCCGUAAACGAUGUCGACUUGGAGGUUGUGCCCUUGAGGCGUGGCUUCCGGAGCUAACGCGUUAAGUCGACCGCCUGGGGAGUACGGCCGCAAGGUUAAAACUCAAAUGAAUUGACGGUGGCCCGCACAAGCGGUGGAGCAUGUGGUUUAAUUCGAUGCAACGCGAAGAACCUUACCUGGUCUUGACAUCCACGGAAGUUUUCAGAGAUGAGAAUGUGCCUUCGGGAACCGUGAGACAGGUGCUGCAUGGCUGUCGUCAGCUCGUGUUGUGAAAUGUUGGGUUAAGUCCCGCAACGAGCGCAACCCUUAUCCUUUGUUGCCAGCGGUCCGGCCGGGAACUCAAAGGAGACUGCCAGUGAUAAACUGGAGGAAGGUGGGGAUGACGUCAAGUCAUCAUGGCCCUUACGACCAGGGCUACACACGUGCUACAAUGGCGCAUACAAAGAGAAGCGACCUCGCGAGAGCAAGCGGACCUCAUAAAGUGCGUCGUAGUCCGGAUUGGAGUCUGCAACUCGACUCCAUGAAGUCGGAAUCGCUAGUAAUCGUGGAUCAGAAUGCCACGGUGAAUACGUUCCCGGGCCUUGUACACACCGCCCGUCACACCAUGGGAGUGGGUUGCAAAAGAAGUAGGUAGCUUAACCUUCGGGAGGGCGCUUACCACUUUGUGAUUCAUGACUGGGGUGAAGUCGUAACAAGGUAACCGUAGGGGACCCGCGGUUG